UUGAUACCUUUAUGAAGUGUGAACAGGUCCCAUGAGUGAAUUAAAGGGAACUAGUGAUUACAUGAACAAAAAUUUGCCACACCUUUUUAGAGCUUUACAUAUCUAAGCCCCAGGGACAGUUGCAGAGUUUGGGGGAGUCCAAAGUGCUUUGUGGAGCAGACCCUUGUAGAAGGAAGAAGGAGAUUUCUCUCUUCUCCUUCCUCCCAUUGGCCAUGACAUCCAAUAGCAAUUUGUCCAGAGAGAAACCUCAUCUAGCAGUUCCAGAGUUCAUGGGUUUGAGAGAGUUGAGGCCAAAUUGAGAGAGCAGACAUUCUAGACAAAGGUGGACAUAGAAGAGCAGUAGUUUGAGGGAGGAAGGUCUUUGAGGAAUGGGGACCCCUGGCAAGAGAGGAGAGAACCACCUGUGAGGUCAAGAGAAAGCUCGCCAUGGUAACCCAAGCUCAACAGAGAGUUGAGCUACAAGGAGAAGCAGAGCUGGGAACCGAGCUUAGCAAUCCAUUCACUGCAGAGAUGCUGCACCCACUAGGAGAGCUGCUUAAGGACUGUGUGGAGAGGGAAAGGACAUGACAGCCCUUCAGUGCCCUGGCUGUGAGUGCCUUGGCCACAUACGUUCCCUACAUGUGUGCCUCAUUACCAUUGUAUUCUGUGUCCAAUCUUCCCAGAGAUGCACAAGUACUGCCGGCAGCCUCUUGCACUCUUUCAGGGAGGAGCAAUUAGAUGUGACCUAAGAACAGGGAAGUACACAGAGGAGAAAGGCUACACACCUCCUUGUUCUUUCAACUAGAGUUCACCUGACACAGUUUUACGUUCUCUCCACAAUCUGGUGGUCAUUGUCCUCUGGACACAGAGAUGAUCAGUAUUGACAGGAGUUGACCCCUUUAGUAAAAAUGGUGAAUCCAGAAGCACUUUGAAGAAACAGACUCAGAGAAAGACCAAGACUUAACAAGCUAUUCCUUGAUUCAGUGAAU